rnacentral:sRNA from 1 species
GCGUUAAACCGUCUAAUUGAAAAAAUUUAAUGCUGCCAGAGACUUUGUUUAUUCAAAUAUAAUUGCACGCGUAAUCUGUCUGAUACUUCUAGUAAAAGACAAAUUAAAUUCUUCAGAAAACUUUUGUACGAUCAAGGAAUGAUUUGUAAAAGAAAGUAUUACGUGAACAUUUUUUUUUUACAUAAAUAUGAUAUGUAUUACACAGACUGGUAUUCACAAAUUGUUAUAAUGUGUUGUUCAAGAUUUUUUUAAAUUUUUACAUAUAUAUGUUUUGCAAUAUGCAUAAAAUGUUACAAUGUGCUGUCCGAGAAUUUUCUUUCUACAUGUCAUUACUUAAAAUAGACAUCUGUAUUGUGCAAAACAUAUCUAACAUUUUAAUUUUCACUUUUGUUUUGUGUAUCAAUGAGUUUUAAUGUUCAUCCAUAAAGCUUAAUGUUCAGAUAAUAAUAUGUACAUGUAAUAAAAACAAGAAUGAAUAAAACUAUAGAGUAAU